rnacentral:rRNA from 1 species
AUUGAACGCUGGCGGCAGGCUUAACACAUGCAAGUCGAGCGAGCGGCGGACGGGUGAGAAAUGUCUGGGAAACUGCCUGAUGGAGGGGGUUAACUACUGGAAACGGUAGCAAAUACCGCAAAGCAUCAGAUGUGCCCCGAUGGGAUUAGCGAGUAGUGGGGGUAAUGGCUCACCUAGGCGACGAUCACUGGUAGGUCUGAGAGGAGGACCAGCCGCACUGGAACUGUGACACGGUCCAGACUCCUCCGGGAGGCAGCGGUGGGGAUGAUUGCGCAAUGGGCGCAAGCCUGAUGCAGCCAUGCCGCGGGUGUGAAGAAGGCCUUCGGGGUGUAAGGCACUUUCAGCGAGGAGGCGUUACUCGCAGAAGAAGCACCGGCUAACUCCGUGCCAGCCGCCGCGGUAAUUC